UCUCGGAUGCUUUCCAGCCGCCCAUCCACCGGCCUCUCCUCCUUCAGUCAGCCUGCAAAACUAGAGGCCCGCUUGCAAAAAAAAAAAAAAAAAUACAGCGUGGAAAAGCCUCCACCGAGUUCAUACAAAGCCCAAGCUCUCCGAAUGGAUCCUUUGGUUUGUUUUUACUUUAACUGAUUUCAGUCUUUGGUCCUGCGCAAACCGGUCUGCUGCUGAGAGAUUUAAAGGAAAAGUUCUGCGCCUUUAAGAACUCAGUUUAGCUGCUCAGUCGUUUCCGACUCUUUGCAACUCCAUGGACUGCAGCACGCCAGGCCUCCCUGUCCUUCACCAUCUCCCGGAGCUUGCUCGGACUCCUGUCCAUUGAACCUUAAGGACUCCAGGUUUCCAUGGCCUAUAGCAGAAGACGUUAGGACAGAAUCCAAACCCUCAGUAACACGACAUGAAGAAUACAGAUUUGAGAAACAGAUGGUCUUACUUCCCAAUAAGGGGGGGGGAAUGAUUUUACGCAGGUUGGAGUGGAACCAGUGAAGACGUGCCACUCAAUUCCAGCACUACGUGCCAGUCACAUACUUUACAGUGAAGCACUCGAACCCUCCCUCCAGAAACCCUACCAUGGAAUCUACUGUUAACUGCACUUGCUCGCUUUGAAAACAGUUACAUGGGCUUUCUGGGGGCUCAGUGGUAAAGAAUCCGCCUGCCAGUGCAGGCGACACGGGUUCAAUCCCUGGGCCAGGAAGAUCCCACACGCCAUGGAACAGCUAAGCCAGUGUGCUACAGCUACUGAACCUGACUGAGCUCUGGAGCCAGCAAGCCACAACCACUGAGCCUGCAGGCCCCAGAGCCUGUGUGCCGCAAGCAAAGCCACUGAGAUGAGAAGCCUGAGCACUGCAACUGGAGAGUAACCGCCCUGCUCGCUGCAACUAGAGA